rnacentral:rRNA from 1 species
UACGUAGGGUGCAAGCGUUGUCCGGAAUUAUUGGGCGUAAAGAGCUCGUAGGCGGUUUGUUGCGUCGGCUGUGAAAUCCCGAGGCUCAACCUCGGGUCUGCAGUCGAUACGAGCAAACUAGAGUGUUGCAGGGGAGACUGGAAUUCCUGGUGUAGCGGUGAAAUGCGCAGAUAUCAGGAGGAACACCGGUGGCGAAGGCGGUUCUCUGGGCCUGUACUGACGCUGAGGAGCGAAAGCGUGGGGAGCGAACAGG